UGAACGCUGGCGGCGUGCUUAACACAUGCAAGUCGAACGGAAAGGCCCAAGCUUGCUUGGGUACUCGAGUGGCGAACGGGUGAGUAACACGUGGGUGAUCUGCCCUGCACUUCGGGAUAAGCCUGGGAAACUGGGUCUAAUACCGGAUAGGACGAUGGUUUGGAUGCCAUUGUGGAAAGUUUUUUCGGUGUGGGAUGAGCUCGCGGCCUAUCAGCUUGUUGGUGGGGUAAUGGCCUACCAAGGCGUCGACGGGUAGCCGGCCUGAGAGGGUGUACGGCCACAUUGGGACUGAGAUACGGCCCAGACUCCUACGGGAGGCAGCAGUGGGGAAUAUUGCACAAUGGGCGCAAGCCUGAUGCAGCGACGCCGCGUGGGGGAUGACGGCCUUCGGGUUGUAAACUCCUUUCGCUAGGGACGAAGCGUUUUUGUGACGGUACCUGGAGAAGAAGCACCGGCUAACUACGUG
rnacentral:rRNA from 1 species